CAGCAGCCGCGGUAAUACGGAGGGUGCAAGCGUUAAUCGGAAUUACUGGGCGUAAAGCGCACGCAGGCGGUCUGUCAAGUCGGAUGUGAAAUCCCCGGGCUCAACCUGGGAACUGCAUUCGAAACUGGCAGGCUAGAGUCUUGUAGAGGGGGGUAGAAUUCCAGGUGUAGCGGUGAAAUGCGUAGAGAUCUGGAGGAAUACCGGUGGCGAAGGCGGCCCCCUGGACAAAGACUGACGCUCAGGUGCGAAAGCGUGGGGAGCAAACAGGAUUAGAUACCCGCGUAGUCCCUGUCUCUUAUAC
rnacentral:rRNA from 1 species